rnacentral:rRNA from 1 species
UGGGGAAUAUUGCACAAUGGGCGAAAGCCUGAUGCAGCGACGCCGCGUGAGGGAUGAAGGCCUUCGGGUUGUAAACCUCUUUCAGCAGGGAAGAAGCGCAAGUGACGGUACCUGCAGAAGAAGCGCCGGCUAACUACGUGCCAGCAGCCGCGGUAAUACGUAGGGCGCAAGCGUUGUCCGGAAUUAUUGGGCGUAAAGAGCUCGUAGGCGGUUUGUCGCGUCUGGUGUGAAAACUCGAGGCUCAACCUCGAGCUUGCAUCGGGUACGGGCAGACUAGAGUGCGGUAGGGGAGACUGGAAUUCCUGGUGUAGCGGUGGAAUGCGCAGAUAUCA